ACUCCUACGGGAGGCAGCAGUGGGGAAUAUUGCACAAUGGGCGCAAGCCUGAUGCAGCCAUGCCGCGUGUAUGAAGAAGGCCUUCGGGUUGUAAAGUACUUUCAGCAGUGAGGAAGGUGAGUGUAGUUAAUAGCUGCUAUUAUUUGACGUUAGCUAGCAGAAGAAGCGACCGGCUAACUCCGUGCCAGCAGCCGCGGUAAUACGGAGGGUGCGAGCGUUAAUCGGAAUUACUGGGCGUAAAGCGCAUGCAGGUGGUUUGUUAAGUCAGAUGUGAAAGCCCGGGGCUCAACCUCGGAAUAGCA
rnacentral:rRNA from 1 species